AAACCAACAGGGAUUGCCUCAGUAACGGCGAGUGAAGCGGCAAAAGCUCAAAUUUGAAACCCUCGGGAUUGUAAUUUGAAGAUUUGGCAUUGGAGAAAGCUAACCCAAGUUACUUGGAAUAGUACGUCAUAGAGGGUGACAACCCCGUCUGGCUAACCGUUCUCCAUGUAUUGCCUUAUCAAAGAGUCGAGUUGUUUGGGAAUGCAGCUCAAAGUGGGUGGUAAACUCCAUCUAAAGCUAAAUACUGGUGAGAGACCGAUAGCGAACAAGUACUGUGAAGGAAAGGUGAAAAGAACUUUGAAAAGAGAGUGAAAUAGUAUGUGAAAUUGUUGAUAGGGAAGGAAAUGAGUGGAGAGUGGUUUAGGUUUCAGCCUUCUUUCGAGGGGGUGCACUACCAACGCCGAGUCAUUGAUAGCGAGACAGGGGUUAUAAACGGACGGCACUUGUGCUUUCUCC
rnacentral:rRNA from 1 species